CAACCAUCAAGCCCCCGGCUUGUGUUGGGGACCUGCGGCUGCCGCAGGCCCUGAAAACCAGUGGCGGGCUCGCUAGUCACUCCGAGCGUAGUAAUACAUCUCGCUCAGGGCGUGCUGCGGGUUCCGGCCGUUAAAAGGCCUUAUUUACCCAA
rnacentral:misc_RNA from 1 species